UACGGAGGGUGCAAGCGUUAAUCGGAAUUACUGGGCGUAAAGCGCGCGUAGGUGGUGUAGUCAGUGAUGUGAAAGCCCCGGGCUUAACCUGGGAACGCAUUUCAGAACUGCGAGCUAGAGUAUGGUAGAGGAGAGUGGAAUUUCCUGGUGUAGCGGUGAAAUGCGUAGAUAUAGUGAAGAA
rnacentral:rRNA from 1 species